GACCGGAACUAGAUAUAUCAGUUGCGUUUCAAAACUUCUCCUAAGGAAUCCGGUAAAAUCGAGAUUUACUUUGGAUUUAUCAUAGCUCAUGUUGCUGCUAGGGGAAUUGGUGCUGACAUAAAUUUCAAUCUGAAUGAUUUUGAGGAUGAUCUUAAACAGAGAGCUUCUGAUUGUGUUUUUGUCUCCGACUGGGACAUCUACUGCCGCUUCAAAUUCAAGGAAAGUUGCUAAUGGUUCUGCUUCGACGGUUUCAACGAAUUACUCAAAGAUUUUUACUUUGGGUUUUGGUUCUCGAGGUGGUCUUUACUCUUUUUUUUUGUGUGAUUUCGCAGACCGUGUAUAAAGGCAGAAAGAAGAAGACAAUUGAGUAUUUCGCGAUUAAAAGUGUCGGUAAAUCUCAGAAAAACAAGGUUCUUCCAGAAGUGAGUUAUUAUUAUUCCUGUUAGUUAAUUAUUAAUAGCAUUCAUGUAAUUUCUUUAGUUUUCUAUCAGAUGUUAAGUUGUAUUGUGUUGUUGAUUGCAAAAACUCGCGAAUUACGCUUUUUAUUCUUCUGCAAGUUAGGAUUCUUCACACUUUGGAUCACCAAAAUUUGCUCAAUUUUUAUUCAUGCUAGAGUGAUGGUUCCUAGGAAUCAUAUGCACUAUGUGGAAAACGGUAACUCUUCAUUGCAUCACAAAGGUAUGAGCAUGUAGAAAGCUAGCAUGGGGUGAAACAGGAUGAGAGUCUCAAUAAUUCAAACUGUGGUGAAGUCGUGCAGACUGCCUCAACUCCUACAACUGCCAAUUACUCUCUAGAAAAAGUAGAAACAUGAUUUGAUUUUUAUCCUUGUUUAUAAUGAUUGGUUUGUAUGAAAUUUGUGCAGAGAAAGAGUGUUUGUGCCGACUGUCGCACUUGAGUUAGAUUUUUUCUGUGCAACUGGAGUCACUUUUGAGAACACAGUGGUUGCAUCAGCAGGUGGCAAAGGAAUGCAGGUUGCUGAAGGUUUAGAUGAUUUGAAGAUAGUACUGCUUAUUGAGUUCAUAGUUUUUACCUCUGUCUUAUAUAUGUUGGUCCAUUGUUGAUUCAUA